UACGUAGGGUGCAAGCGUUAAUCGGAAUUACUGGGCGUAAAGCGUGCGCAGGCGGUCUGUUAAGACAGAUGUGAAAUCCCCGGGCUUAACCUGGGAACUGCAUUUGUGACUGGCAGGCUAGAGUAUGGCAGAGGGGGGUAGAAUUCCACGUGUAGCAGUGAAAUGCGUAGAGAUGUGGAGGAAUACCGAUGGCGAAGGCAGCCCCCUGGGCCAAUACUGACGCUCAUGCACGAAAGCGUGGGGAGCAAACAGG
rnacentral:rRNA from 1 species